rnacentral:rRNA from 1 species
AGCGAACGCUGGCGGCAUGCCUAACACAUGCAAGUCUGACGGGCGGGGCUUUCGGGCCUUGUCAGUGGCGGACGGGUGAGGAGCGCGUAGGAACGUAUCCAAGGGGUGGGGACAACCGCGGGAAACUGCGGCUAAUACCGCAUGGGGCCGUCUAGGGAGACCUGAAAGGGGAGACCUGGGGCCAAAGGCUGGGGCAACCUAGUCGCCGGUGGAGCGGCCUGCGUCCGAUUAGCUAGUUGGUGGGGUGANGGCUUACCAAGGCAGCGAUCGGUAGCUGGUCUGAGAGGAUGAUCAGCCACACUGGGACUGAGACACGGCCCA